rnacentral:rRNA from 1 species
GAGUUUGAUCCUGGCUCAGAUUGAACGCUGGCGGCAUGCCUUACACAUGCAAGUCGAACGGCAGCACGGGAGCUUGCUCCUGGUGGCGAGUGGCGAACGGGUGAGUAAUGCAUCGGAACGUAUCCUGGAGUGGGGGAUAACGUAGCGAAAGUUACGCUAAUACCGCAUAUUCUGUGAGCAGGAAAGCGGGGGACCUUCGGGCCUCGCGCUCUUGGAGCGGCCGAUGUCGGAUUAGCUAGUUGGUGAGGUAAAGGCUCACCAAGGCGACGAUCCGUAGCAGGUCUGAGAGGAUGAUCUGCCACACUGGAACUGAGACACGGUCCAGACUCCUACGGGAGGCAGCAGUGGGAAUUUUGGACAAGUGGGGGCAACCCUGAUCCAGCCAUGCCGCGUGAGUGAAGAA